rnacentral:rRNA from 1 species
GUGAGGAAUAUUGGUCAAUGGGCGGGAGCCUGAACCAGCCAAGUCGCGUGAAGGAAGAAGGAUCUAUGGUUCGUAAACUGCUUUUGUACGGGAAGAAACACUCCCUCGUGAGGGAGCUUGACGGUACCGUAAGAAUAAGGAUCGGCUAACUCCGUGCCAGCAGCCGCGGUAAUACGGAGGAUCCAAGCGUUAUCCGGAAUCAUUGGGUUUAAAGGGUCCGUAGGCGGUUUAAUAAGUCAGUGGUGAAAGCCCAUCGCUCAACGAUGGAACGGCCAUUGAUACUGUUAGACUUGAAUUACAAGGAAGUAACUAGAAUAUGUAGUGUAGCGGUGAAAUGCUUAGAUAUUACAUGGAAUACCAAUUGCGAAGGCAGGUUACUACUUGUGGAUUGACGCUGAUGGACGAAAGCGUGGGGAGCGAACAGGAUUAGAUACCCUGGUAGUCC